CGGGGGUGGGCAUGUGGAAACGGGAUCAGGGGCAUCGAGCGCCACCGCGGAGGCAGCUGAGAUGGUCCUUAGGAAGCUCGCAAUUGGUAAGGAAGGUGGCCGGAGCGGGGCAAGCGGGGGCCGAUGGCAAGAUGACCACUUGGAAGGUGGUGAGAAAGUCCCAGCGAGAAGUGGAACUGCGCCAGGAGAACCAGGAACCAGGGUGGAGUCACUUACCUAGAGACCCCGACUGUGGACAGACCACAGCAACAGGGAGAGGCUCCGGCUCGCAAGAGCUGGACGCCGAAGGUUCCGCAGACAAGGCUCAGUCGCCACGGCCCGCCCGUGCCAGGGACCUCUAGGUGCCAGGUGACAACCGCCCCAGGUAGCCCCCGGGAGGCCACCUCGUGCCUCCCAGCACGCGCCCACCCCCUGCCCCGCUCUCCUUCCUCUCACACCGUUCACCGCUUUAACUCUGCUGUUCAGUAAACCGUCUCGUUGCUUAGUCCUUGAAUUCUUUCCUGCGAUGGAACAAGAACUCUCUCCAUCAACAGAAUCCACCAAAACUCACAAAAAACCCUGACUCCUAAUGGCUGGAAUGCUAGAAGUAUAGUCAUUAAUGACUGAAACAAGGGCAGCUUCUAUCGUUAC
rnacentral:lncRNA from 1 species